CAGCGAAAGGGGCGGAGAAGGGUGGGGAAGGAAGCGCAGGUGUCUUCAGCCGAGAGAGCGGCGCACACACCGGAGCGGCUUGCUGCAAGGGGAGGAUACAGCCUGAAGGACAAAGCUGCUGAGUUCUAGAAAGAUAACUUAAAUGUUUAUGUCUGGCAGGAGAGGAACACUCAGCAGCCUAUGCUUCUCAGCAAGCCUAACUUCUCCUCAGAGGAUCCUUGGCUCAGUAGCUCAUGGACUGAUGGAUGGACCAACGGCAAGAUUGUCAAGUGAUUUUGCCUAGCUUGUGCAAGAUCACAUCUGAGGCUGGGAGCAGCUAUAGAUCCCGAAAUUGAGAAGCAAAGCUCUGGAAAGGGUUUCUACCUUGUCCAUGGUUGGAGGAUUAGAUUGGGGUAUUUGCACUUUUUUUCUGUGCUGCUCUUCACUUCCCACAGAUAUCCUGGCCUUCCUGCUUGCUGGAUGAAGUACAGAGAGUUCUUAAAAACAAGAAAAGAUGGGAAAAAGAAGUCAGAGAAAUUUAAAGCACGAGAAGGAUUCAACAUGCUGUGGCUGGUUUAAAGAUGGAGGGGCUAAUGUGACAAGGAAUGCAGGAGGUCUUCAGGAGCUGAAAGAGGCUCCUCUCUGACAGGCAGGAAGGAAAUGAGACCUGCCCUUACAACCAUAAGGAACUGAAUUUGGCCAAUAACCUGAAUGAUCGUGGAAGCAGAUUCAUCUCCAGAGAAGAAUACAGCCCUACUGAUACUUUGGGUUCGGCUGAGCCAUGCUACACCACAACUUCUGC